GGAGCAGCGCGCGCCCUGCAAUCGCCGCAGCCGCCCCCGCCUUUGGCCGCCGCUCCCCAAGCGACUGCCCAAACUAAGCCUCCGUGGCUGGGUACGGGAGCGCUUUGGGGACAAAAAUUCUCCCUCAACUGUGGUCUGCAUUCCUUCGGCCCGUGGGCUGAUCUGGGGCGGGAAGUAUUAGCGUCUCAGUUGCGCUGCAGCCGGGGAGGAAGGAGGAGGCCGAGCCGGGGGCGGAGUUCGGGCUGACUGGGGCUGGACCGGGCAAGACGCCGCCGCUGCCCGGAUGUUGCGAUGGCUGAUCGGGGGAGGCCGAGAACCGCAGGGACUGGCCGAGAAAUCUCCUUUACAGACAAUAGGUGAAGAACAAACCCAGAAUCCCUACACUGAACUGCUAGUACUGAAGGCUCAUCAUGAUAUUGUACGAUUUCUGGUACAGUUAGAUGACUACAGAUUUGCAUCUGCUGGUGAUGAUGGAAUUGUAGUUGUGUGGAAUGCCCAGACAGGGGAAAAACUUUUAGAACUGAAUGGACACACUCAAAAGAUAACAGCUAUUAUUACAUUUCCUUCCUUGGAAUCUUGUGAAGAAAAAAAUCAACUCAUCUUGACAGCCUCUGCUGAUAGAACAGUUAUUGUGUGGGAUGGUGAUACUACCAGACAAGUUCAGAGAAUAUCAUGCUUCCAGUCUACUGUAAAGUGUUUAACUGUUCUUCAGAGACUAGAUGUUUGGCUUUCUGGUGGGAAUGACCUGUGUGUGUGGAACCGAAAAUUAGAUCUCCUGUGUAAGACUAGCCACCUUUCUGAUACAGGUAUUAGUGCUUUGGUUGAAAUACCUAAGAACUGUGUUGUGGCAGCAGUUGGCAAAGAACUGAUAAUUUUCAGGUUGGUAGCACCCACAGAAGGAUCACUAGAAUGGGAUAUUCUUGAAGUUAAGCGCCUCCUUGAUCACCAGGAUAAUAUUCUCUCAUUGAUUAAUGUCAAUGAUUUGAGUUUUGUCACCGGCUCCCACAUCGGAGAGCUGAUUAUCUGGGAUGCCCUGGACUGGACCAUGCAGGCCUAUGAACGCAACUUCUGGGACCCAUCUCCACAACUGGACACCCAACAAGAAAUAAAACUCUGUCAAAAAUCAAAUGACAUUUCUAUUCAUCAUUUCACAUGUGAUGAAGAGAAUGUAUUUGCUGCAGUUGGAAGGGGUUUAUACGUGUAUAGCCUUCAAAUGAAGCGUGUGAUUGCCUGCCAGAAAACUGCACAUGACUCCAAUGUCCUGCACAUUGCCAGACUUCCAAACAGGCAGUUAAUCUCAUGCUCAGAAGAUGGCAGUGUACGCAUUUGGGAGUUAAGAGAAAAACAGCAGCUUGCAGCUGAGCCUGUACCAACAGGUUUUUUUAACAUGUGGGGAUUUGGAAGAGUCAACAAACAAGCCAGCCAACCUGUUAAAAAGCAGCAAGAAAAUGCUACUUCAUGUUCACUGGAGCUUAUUGGAGAUUUGAUUGGACACUCAUCAUCUGUGGAGAUGUUUCUAUACUUUGAAGAUCAUGGACUAGUGACGUGCUCCGCUGAUCAUCUCAUUAUUUUGUGGAAAAAUGGAGAGCGAGAAUCUGGAUUGCGCAGUUUAAGAUUAUUUCAAAAAUUAGAGGAGAACGGUGACUUAUACCUUGCUGUCUAGUUUAAGGAAUUAAAAAUACACAUGCAUGAACCUUGAACAUCAACUAUCGGGUACUACUCUGAAAACCAUUAAUAUAUUGAUCACUUAAAUUGGUCCUAUAUCCUCCGAAGAACAUACCACAACUUUUUCCAUUUGACUUUGAGCUGCUGUUGAAGUGGUGCGUGCUGUGUUUUGAGCUUAUUUUGAACCUAGACCCUUGUGAAAGGUACAAAUAGAGAUAAAUCUGUUCAGAUAAGCUCCUUAUGAAUCCUUCAGAUCGAUGUUCUUGAGGAAAACAGUCAAGCUAAACAGCAAUGAUGACUUUUAUGGUAAAGGAUGAGCUGAUCACUAGCUAAGCUACUUAGUCACCAUCCUGGGAGAUGAGCUCACAGGCACCAAGGCUUUGCUUCCUGUGGCCUGCUAGUUACAGUGAACCAGCUCCAUGGAUUGACAAGGGUACACAGGAUGAUAGCAGAGCAAAGGAGUUUGCCAAGUAUUUGUUCUGUCAUUAAGUAUUCAAAAGAACAUAUAUUUUUCUUCAUGGAACAUAACUUUCUAAGAAUGAAAUUUGGGGACUUGAAUGAUUCAAGGUCAAAUAUUAAACAUUAGCUCCUUCACCAAUACCUGUCAUUGUCAUUAGAAAGGAAGGCCUCUUGUUUACGCUACUGUGAUUCACAGUGUCCUUUGUCGGUCAAGAGGCCCCCUCUGUGGCUUGGCUUUAGCUGUCAGAUGGAAGCCUCAAACUUUUGCACUUUAGGUCAUCUAGUGUCUUCCAGUGUUUGUAGUUGUCAGCCAAAUGCUGCAUCAGGGCUGGCAGAUGUGCAAAGGCUGCAAAGACAGAAAAGAAUCAAAAGAAACCGGUGAACUUAGACCCCAGGAGCAUUUAUAAGCCUGGGGGUGUCUGGGACAAGUUUGGGAUCAGAAUUAGAGGAGGCACACCCUGGGCGAAGCCUUUGGUAUCAAGUGAACACACAGCAUGAGGACAAGUCAUUAAACACUAGUUUCUGAAAUACAAACAGGUCCUUUUUGAAAAGCUGCUUAUCAGUGACAUUAUCAGAAGAACCUGUGAUUCAGAGUAAACUAAAUACAUUUUGCAUUCUUUCUAGAGUUUUCCUCCAACGACAGAAAAACACUGCAGUAAGCUUCGGCAGCGUGUCCUUUGAAGAGGCAGAGACUCGUUUAUCCAGCUAUCAAAAAUCCAUCAAGUCUUCUGCACACAAGCUUCUGUGCCAGCUGCUGGGGAUGCAAAGAAUACACCCCACCCCACUUGGCCACAAAAAGCUGACAGCCACAUUUUUAAAAAUAUAUUUUGUUUACCUUUAGGCUCACCCUAUGUCACUAAAGAUAAUAUUCAUAAAGUAUAACAAUUUUCUUUGGGUGACAAAACAGUAACUGUCUUACCAUCCCAAGCAUCAAACAUGUCUGUUAUGAAGUAGUCAAUGAAAGAGAUCUGAGACUUGGGGAUGCUACAGGUAUUCCGGUCAAACACUGGCAUCACCACAGGUAGUCCCUGUCUCUUCUCUUCAUCAGUCUGUAAGAAAAAACCACCACAUAGGGCUGGAGGACAUGCUAGACACUUUCACAGUAAUAUCCUGUUUCUCAGAACAACCCUGUGAAAAUGGGUCAUUAUCCAGUUUUCUCAAUGAAGAAAUAGGCUCAGCAAGAUCCUCAGACUUACGUAAGUCAGCUGAGCUACACUGACUACACUCAGGCCUUCCCACUCUCAAGCCUCUUUUUUUGUUUUUGAGACAGUGUCUCAACUCUGUUGCCCAAGCUGUAGUACAGUGGUGCAGUCUCGGUUCACUGCAACCUCCGCCUCCCAGGUUCAAGCGAUUCUUCUGCCUCAGCCUCCUGAGUAGCUGGGAAUACAGGCACCUGUCACCAUGUCCAGCUAAUUUUUAGUAGAGAAGGGGUUUCACCAUAUUGGCCAAGCCAGUCUUGAACUCCUGACCUCAGAUGAUCUGCCUCCCUUGGCCUCCCAAAGUGCUGGGAUUAUAGGCACGAGCCACUGUGCCUGGCCCCAAGCCUCUUUCUAUGUGAUACCAUAGCAUCUCCUGACACAUUGAUCUCAGGGUACUUAGCCCCUUUUCUGGGAUCUGCUUUUAUCAUUGCAAAGUCAAAGCUAUGUUCAAUGUCAUACAAACACGAAUUCUCAUACCAAAACUACUGACAUUUACACUGAGAAGAAGCAAUAGUGGGUAAAACUGCUAACACCUUAGCAUGACUCAAUGAACUAGCACCAAACUGUAUUAAUAGCCAUAGUCAUUACAUUAUUUGAUGCCACAUGUUUGCACUUAAAAAAAAAAAAGUUUCAGGCCGAGCCCAAUGGCUCAUGCCUGUAAUCCCAGUGAUAUGGGAGGUCAAGGCAGGAGGUUCGCUUGAGGCCUGGAGUUUUGAGUCUGCAUUGAGCCAGGACUGUGCCACUGCACUCCAGUUUGGGUUACAGAGUGAGAUCUUGUCUCAAAACAAAAAAAAAACAGAACCAGUUUCACUUGAGAAUUACCUCUUUGAAGCAGUAAGAGUUAUUAAUUGUAUUAAAUCUUGACCUUUGAA